CGGAGCAGACCGGCUGUGGAAACAAACCACAGACAGGCUGCGAUACAACACAGGUAGAGGGAGAGAGACAGGUAGAGGGAGAGAGACAGGCAGAGGGAGAGAGACAGGCAGAGGGAGAGAGACAGGUAGAGGGAGAGAGACAGGCAGAGGGAGAGAGACAGGUAGAGGGAGAGAGACAGGCAGAGGGAGAGAGACAGGUAGAGGGAGAGAGACAGGUAGAGGGAGAGAGACAGACAGAGGGAGAGAGAGACAGGUAGAGGGAGAGAGACAGGUAGAGGGAGAGAGACAGGCAGAGGGAGAGAGACAGGCAGAGGGAGAGAGACAGGCAGAGGGAGAGAGACAGGCAGAGGGAGAGAGACAGGCAGAGGGAGAGAGACAGGCAGAGGGAGAGAGACAGGUAGAGGGAGAGAGACAGGCAGAGGGAGAGAGACAGGUAGAGGGAGAGAGACAGGCAGAGGGAGAGAGACAGGCAGAGGGAGAGAGACAGGUAGAGGGAGAGAGACAGGCAGAGGGAGAGAGACAGGCAGAGGGAGAGAGACAGGUAGAGGGAGAGAGAGAGA